rnacentral:lncRNA from 1 species
UGUAUAGUUUGCUCUGCACCUCUAUAUAUUUCUACUUAAGGUAGUCGUAUGUUCUACUGCUCUAUGUACUUGAAUAUCUGAUGAGACCUAGGCUCCUUAGCAAGGGCUAUGGUGCCAUUAUCUUUGCAGUAUAAUAUCAUGGCAUCUGAUGGCAUGACAUCCAGUUCUACAACUAAUAUUAGAACCAGAAUGUAUCCUACACAUCUAAAGUGUACUCAGCUUCCAUUGAUCGAUU